CCUACGGGAGGCAGCAGUGGGGAAUAUUGGUCAAUGGGGGAAAGGCUGAAGCAGCAAAGUCGCGUGAAGGAUGAAGGUUCUAGGGUUGUUAAACUUCUUUGAGAGGGGAAUAAAUGUAGCCACGUGUGGAUAUUUGCAUGUAUACUUUGAUUACGCAUGGGCUGACUCCGUGCCAGCAGCCGCUGUAAUACGGAGGAUGCGAGCGUUAUGAGGAUUCAGUGGGGUUAAAGGGUGCGUAGGUUGUUUUUUAAGUCAGAGGUGAAAUUUUGUAGCUCAACCAUAAAAUUGCCGUUGAAACUGGAAGUCUUGAGUGUGUUUGAGGUAGGCGGAAUGCGUGGUGUAGGGGUGAAAUGCAUAGAUAUCACGCAGAAUUCCGAUUGCGAAGGC
rnacentral:rRNA from 1 species